UACGAAAGGUGCAAGCGUUACUCGGAAUCACUGGGCGUAAAGCGCACGUAGGCGGACUCGUAGGUCAAUUGUGAAAUACCUGGGCUCAACCUGGGAACUGCAGUUGAAACCACUUGUCUUGAAUACCUGAGAGGAUGGUGGAAUUCUCGGUGUAGAGGUGAAAUUCGUAGAUAUCGAGAGGAACACCGGUGGGGAAGGCGGCCAUCUGGACGGUGACUGACGCUGAGACGCGAAAGCGUGGGGAGCAAACAGG
rnacentral:rRNA from 1 species